rnacentral:rRNA from 1 species
CAGCAGCCACGGUAAAACGAAGGGGGCUAGCGUUGUUCGGAAUCACUGGGCGUAAAGGGUGCGUAGGCGGAUUCUUAAGUCAGGGGUGAAAUCCCGAGGCUCAACCUCGGAACUGCCUUUGAUACUGGGGAUCUUGAGUCCGGAAGAGGUGAGUGGAACUGCGAGUGUAGAGGUGAAAUUCGUAGAUAUUCGCAAGAACACCGGUGGCGAAGGCGGCUCACUGGUCCGGAACUGACGCUGAGGCACGACAGCGUGGGGAGCAAAUGGGAUUAGAUACCCCGGUAGUCCCUGUCUCUUAUAC